rnacentral:rRNA from 1 species
UACGUAGUGGGCAAGCGUUGUCCGGAAUCAUUGGGCGUAAAGAGCGUGUAGGCGGCCCGGUAAGUCUGUUGUGAAAGUCCAGGGCUCAACCCUGGAAUGCCGAUGGAUACUGCCGGGCUAGAGUUCGGAAGAGGCGAGUGGAAUUCCUGGUGUAGCGGUGGAAUGCGCAGAUAUCAGGAGGAACACCUGUAGCGAAGGCAGCUCGCUGGGACGACACUGACGCUGAGACGCGAAAGCGUGGGGAGCGAACAGG